GCCUGCCUAGCUCAAUCGGAUAGAGCGUCAGACUCUUAUGAGGCGGGUCAUCUGAAGGCUGCGAGUUCGACCCUCGCGGUGGGCU